rnacentral:rRNA from 1 species
GAUGAACGCUAGCUACAGGCUUAACACAUGCAAGUCGAGGGGUAACGAGAGGAAAGCUUGCUUUCCUUGUCGACGACCGGCGCACGGGUGAGUAACGCGUAUCCAACCUGCCCCCAACUAGGGAAUAACCUUGCGAAAGUAAGACUAAUACCCUAUAAUUUCCUCAGAUGUCAUCUGACGAGGAAUAAAGAUUUAUCGGUUGUGGAUGGGGAUGCGUGUGAUUAGCUUGUUGGCGGGGUAACGGCCCACCAAGGCAACGAUCAGUAGGGGUUCUGAGAGGAAGGUCCCCCACAUUGGAACUGAGACGCGGACCAAACUCCUACGGGAGGCAGCAGUGAGGAAGAUUGGUCAAUGGGCGGAAGCCUGAACCAGCCAAGUAGCGUGCAGAAUGACGGCCCUAUGGGUUGUAAACUGCUUUUAUACAGGAAUAAAGUUAGCCACGUGUGGUUAUUUGUAGGUACUGUAUGAAUAAGGACCGGCUAAUUCCGUGCCAGCCGCCGCAGUAA